GAUGAACGCUGGCGGCGUGCCUAAUACAUGCAAGUCGAGCGAACAGACGAGAGUGCUUGCACUCUCUGACGUUAGCGGCGGACGGGUGAGUAACACGUGGGUAACCUACCUAUAAGACUGGGAUAACUUCGGGAAACCGGAGCUAAUACCGGAUAAUAUUUAGCUUCGCAUGAAGCAAUAGUGAAAGACGGUUCUGCUGUCACUUAUAGAUGGACCCGCGGUGUAUUAGCUAGUUGGUGAGGUAACGGCUCACCAAGGCAACGAUACAUAGCCGACCUGAGAGGGUGAUCGGCCACACUGGGUCUGAGACACGGCCCAGACUCCUACGGGAGGCAGCAGUAGGGAAUCUUCCGCAAUGGACGAAAGUCUGACGGAGCAAUGCCGCGUGAGUGAAGAAGGUUUUCGGAUCGUAAAACUCUGUUGUAAGGGAAGAACAAGUACGUUAGUAACUGAACGUACCUUGACGGUACCUUACCAGAAAGCCACGGCUAACUACGUG
rnacentral:rRNA from 1 species